rnacentral:rRNA from 1 species
CAAGGAAUUUUGUGCAAUGGGCGAAAGCCUGACACAGCAACGUCGCGUGGGGGAUGAAGGCCUUCGGGUUGUAAACCCCUUUUCUCAGGGAAGAACGAUGACGGUACCUGAGGAAUAAGCCUCGGCUAACUACGUGCCAGCAGCCGCGGUAAUACGUAGGAGGCGAGCGUUAUCCGGAUUUAUUGGGCGUAAAGAGGGCGUAGGCGGCCUUUCAAGUCGAAUAUAAAAUCUCCCAGCUUAACUGGGAGGGACUAUACGAUACUGUUGGGCUGGAGGGCAGCAGAAGGAGGUGGAAUUCCCGGUGGAGUGGUGAAAUGCGUAGAUAUCGGGAGGAACACCAGUGGCGAAGGCGGCCUCCUAGGCUGUUUCUGACGCUGAGGCCCAAAAGCGUGGGGAGCGAACAGG